rnacentral:rRNA from 1 species
ACUCAAAGGAAUAGACGGGGACUCGCACAAGCGGUGGAGCAUGUGGUUCAAUUCGAUGGUAAGCGAAGAACCUUACCAGGGCUUGAAAUGGGCGUGACGGUGCCCGAAAGGGUUACCUUCUCACAAGGACACGCUCACAGGUGAUGCAUGGCUGUCGUCAGUUCGUGGCUUGAGUUGUUCCCUUAAGUGGGGUAACGAACGCAACCCUUAUCCCGCGUUAUACGUGUCGCGGGAGACUGCCCUGUUAAACGGGGAGGAAGGCGAGGAUGACGCCAAGUCCGCAUGUCCCUCUGAUGCCCUGGGCUACACACGUGCUACAAUGCUCGCUACAAUGGGCCGCGAUGCCGCGAGGCGGAGCAAAUCCCAUCAAAAGCGGGCUCAGUUCGGAUUGGAGUCUGCAACCUGACUCCAUGAAGUUGGAAUCGCUAGUAAUCGCAGGUCAGCACACUGCGGUGAAUACGUUCUCGAGUCUUGUACACACCGCCCGU